AACGAACGCUGGCGGCAGGCCUAACACAUGCAAGUCGAACGCUCGUAGCAAUACGAGAGUGGCAGACGGGUGAGUAACACGUGGGAACCUUCCCUAUGGUUCGGAAUAGCUCAGGGAAACUUGGGGUAAUACCGGAUAAGCCCUUCGGGGGAAAGAUUUAUCGCCAUUGGAUGGGCCCGCGUCGGAUUAGCUAGUUGGUGAGGUAACGGCUCACCAAGGCAACGAUCCGUAGCUGGUCUGAGAGGAUGAUCAGCCACACUGGGACUGAGACACGGCCCAGACUCCUACGGGAGGCAGCAGGUGGGAAUCUUGCGCAAUGGGCGAAAGCCUGACGCAGCGACGCCGCGU
rnacentral:rRNA from 1 species